rnacentral:rRNA from 1 species
AUUGAACGCUGGCGGCAUGCCUUACACAUGCAAGUCGAACGGUAACAGGUCUUCGGAUGCUGACGAGUGGCGAACGGGUGAGUAAUACAUCGGAACGUGCCUAGUAGUGGGGGAUAACUACUCGAAAGAGUGGCUAAUACCGCAUGAGAUCUACGGAUGAAAGCAGGGGAUCGCAAGACCUUGUGCUACUAGAGCGGCCGAUGGCAGGUUAGGUAGUUGGUGGGAUAAAAACUUACCAAGCCGACGAUCUGGAGCUGGUCUGAGAGGACGAUCAGCCACACUGGGACUGAGAAACGGCCCAGACUCCUACGGGAGGCAGCAGUGGGGAAUUUUGGACAAUGGGCGCAAGCCUGAUCCAGCAAUGCCGCGUGCGGGAUGAAGGCCUUCGGGUUGUAAACUGCUUUUGUACGGAACGAAAAGCCCCGGGUUAAUACCCUGGGGUCAUGACGGUACCGUAAGAAUAAGCACCGGCUAACUACGUGCCAGCAGCCGCGGUAA